GACUCUCGACAACGGAUAUCUCCUCUCGCAUCGAUGAAGAGCGUAGUGAAAUGCGAUACUUGGUGUGAAUUGCAGAAUCCCGUGAACCAUCGAGUCUUUGAACGCAAGUUGCGCCCGAAGCCAUCCGGCCGAGGGCACGUCUGCCUGGGCGUC
rnacentral:rRNA from 1 species